rnacentral:tmRNA from 1 species
GGGGCUGAUUCUGGAUUCGACGGGAUUUGCGAAACCCAAGGUGCAUGCCGAGGGGCGGUUGGCCUCGUAAAAAGCCGCAAAAAAUAGUCGCAAACGACGAAAACUACGCUUUAGCAGCUUAAUAACCUGCUUAGAGCCCUCUCUCCCUAGCCUCCGCUCUUAGGACGGGGAUCAAGAGAGGUCAAACCCAAAAGAGAUCGCGUGGAAGCCCUGCCUGGGGUUGAAGCGUUAAAACUUAAUCAGGCUAGUUUGUUAGUGGCGUGUCCGUCCGCAGCUGGCAAGCGAAUGUAAAGACUGACUAAGCAUGUAGUACCGAGGAUGUAGGAAUUUCGGACGCGGGUUCAACUCCCGCCAGCACCACUU